rfam:Gymnopus luxurians FD-317 M1 unplaced genomic scaffold GYMLTscaffold_17, whole genome shotgun sequence.
GGUUCGGUGGUGUAGUGGUUAUCACGUCUGUCUCACAAGCUUUUAUGCUUGUGCACAGGAGGUCUCCGGUUCGAAACCGGGUCGAAUCA